rnacentral:lncRNA from 1 species
UCCACCCCCUCCCCUCCCCCCGACAUCCCAAUCCCAAAAAUCCCGGGAAUUCCGGGCUGACCCGGCGGAGCCGUGGAUUCUCCGUAUCCCUUCAUUUCCAGGGCGAUCACCCGGAAUCCGGCGUCGGCCAAGGCCGGGAUCUGCCGCGGGAAAAGAGCGGAAUUCCCGACGGAUCCUUGGGAAUUCCCUGGGGAAUUCCGGCUGGGAUUGAUCCUUUCCCACCCCCCCGCCUCCCCGGGGUGAAUUCCCGGGAUUUUGGGUCACCUGGAAGCGCCAGGAGAGCCAGGAUUCCGGGAAUCCGUGGCACAGGCAGAUGGCGGGGCCCUGGCCCAGCUCGGCGAAGUGCAGCCCAACUCCCGGCUGGAAAAAAACCGGGAAUUCCUUCCUCAGGGAUCACGGGAAAACGGGAAUUCCUUCCUCAGGGAUCAUGGGAAAACGGGAAUUCCUUCCUCAGGGAUCACGGGAAAACGGGAAUUCCUUCCUCAGGGGAUCACGGGAAAACGGGAAUUCUUCGGGGAUCCAGGGAAAAAAUUCCUCAGGGAUUCCUGGGAAAAAAUUCCUAAGGGAUCCCGGGAAAAAUUCCUCAGGGAUCCCGGGAAAACGGGAAUUCUUCGGGGAUCCAGGGAAAAUGGGAAUUCCUUCCUCAGGGGAUCACGGGAAAACGGGAAUUCUUUGGGGAUCCAGGGAAAAAAUUCCUCAGGGAUUCCUGGGAAAAAAUUCCUCAGGGAUUCCUGGGAAAAAUUCCUCAGGGGAUUCUGGGAAAACGGGAAUUCUUCAGGGAUCCCAGGAAAAUGGGAAUUCCUUCCUCAGGGAUCACGGGAAAACGGGAAUUCUUCGGGGAUCCAGGGAAAAAAUUCCUCAGGGAUUCCUGGGAAAACGGGAAUUCCUUCCUCAGGGGAUUCUGGAAAAACGGGAAUUCUUCGGGGAUUCUGGGAAAAAUUCCUCAGGGAUUCUGGGAAAAUUUCUUAUGGAUUCUGGGAAAAUGGGAAUUCCUCAGGGAUUCUGGGAAAAUGGAAAUUCCUUCCUCAGGGAUUCCGGGAAAAAUUCUUCAGGGAUUCUGGGAAAACGGGAAUUCUUCAGGGAUCCCGGGAAAAUGGAAAUUCCUUCCUCAGGGAUCACGGGAAAACGGGAAUUCCUUCCUCAGGGGAUCAUGGGAAAACAGGAAUUCUUUGGGGAUCCAGGGAAAAAAUUCCUCAGGGAUUCCUGGGAAAAAAUUCCUCAGGGAUUCCUGGGAAAAAUUCCUCAGGGGAUUCUGGGAAAACGGGAAUUCUUCAGGGAUCCCAGGAAAAUGGAAAUUCCUUCCUCAGGGAUCACGGGAAAACGGGAAUUCUUCGGGGAUCCAGGGAAAAAAUUCCUCAGGGAUUCCUGGGAAAACGGGAAUUCCUUCCUCAGGGGAUUCUGGAAAAACGGGAAUUCUUCGGGGAUUCUGGGAAAAAUUCCUCAGGGAUUCUGGGAAAAUUUCUUAUGGAUUCUGGGAAAAUGGGAAUUCCUCAGGGAUUCUGGGAAAAUGGAAAUUCCUUCCUCAG